UCCCUCCCUCCCUCCCUCCCCGGGGCCCUCCGGGUAAAUAGCGAGGGUUGGACCCAGUCUCCGCUUCUCUGGGACGGGCUCGGGCUCGGGCCUGCGGGGUGGGGUGUGUGGGGGGCAGAGCGCCCAGGUGCUGGCGGAGUGACGCCCCGCCUUCUCCGUGAGCGCCUCUGGGACCGGCCCUGGUUUAGGUCUUGGGGAGGCGGGACCGUUUUGGGGGUUAGGUGGGCCGGGGGAAGGGAUAUUGGGGGCCGACUGGAGAAAGACAAGGAGUGGGACAGACCCCAGUGGCCACGGGGGAAGGAGUGCUCCAAUGGGAGGGAGGGGAGGUGGGUGGAAAUGAGGUGGAGGGAGCGGUGGGGGCUCCAGCCUCGGGGAAGGAGGCCCGGAGGGAGGCGAGGGCGGUGACAGCUGCCGCGGGCGGGGCCGCUCGGAGGCGGAGCGGAAGGGCCGUGAUGCCUCCUGGGAGCACUGGCCGCCGGCGGCCUGCACGCCCCUCCCUCCGCAGGGCUCUGUCCUGAGGCACCUGCACCCCCGCCUUCACCCACCCGAUCAGCUCGGUGUGUGCCGCUCAGGCAGGGCCUCCGUGUGUCCGGGUGAGCCGCUCGCUGCGCUAGGGCCGCCCUGGCUGUUGGUCCUCAUACGCAGAGCAUUUCCUCUGCUCUCAAGAGCACGCGCUCCCCCACCUCCUGCCUCCGCUCCCCAAGGACAUCCGCCGUCAGUCGCAUUAUAUUUUCCCUUGAGAAACCUCAUUUGGUGUUUGAACAGCCCAGGGAGCCCCUGCUUCCUGCUCUUCCCGGACUGUGACCGCAGUAGAUGCCUUUCACCUCCCGCAGGUCGGCGGCCUCUGCCCACAUGGGUCCCUUGCUCGGGGACAUGUUCUGGCAGGGUCCCCUCUUAGGGUCUCAGGGACUUGGGACUUUGCCCUGGAGCACACCAAGUCCAAGCUGGCGAUGCCAGUGGAGGAGGGGCAGGAAUGGAAUAUAGUGGACUUUGCAGACAAGUAGAGCCGGAGGGUUUGGGCUUUCCACUGUGGAGUCUUCCUCCAACCACUGGAGGAGAUGCAGGCCACAGUGCCUCUGAGGUGUCUCCCCAACCCUGGAGACCGCUUUGGGUACAGCUAGGAGUGCAGUCGGCUGGGGCAUCCUUUCCAGCUCAGACUCAGCUGGAGUUAAACUCCACCCACACCUGCUUCCCUCAGGAGCUCGGUGGCUCCCUGCUAGGCAUACCGGGCCCCCAUCUCGCCCAGUUCAAGGGCUCACCUGGACUCCUCACUCCCCUCAACCAGGAAUCUUUGGAUUCACUCGUCGUCCUCAAAGAGAGCUGAGAGCUGAGCUCCUUCCAGUGGGGUGACGUCCCUCGGCCGUGGAUGUAUCUGAAAAUCAGCUGUGCCUCCAACGAGUCUGCCUCGCAGAGGUGGCAGCCUGCUGGAGGACCUACCUGGCCUUUGGGGAAAAUUCCAACUGUAUUCAGAGCCUCCCCCACCCCUGAACACUUUUAGGCAGAACUCUUUUGGGCUGGGCUCAGCCCCACCAAUCCUCGCUGGGAGUUCACCUGGGCCUCACCCACUUGUUAGAAGCCCUGGGCUUCGCCCUCUCUUGUCCCCAUAGGCAUCUUCUCCAUUCCACACAAGGUAAGGAUCCCCAGAGGAGAUUGGAGAGGUUCUUUUAAGGAAGUGUCUCAACAUUCCUUCUCUGGAGGGGAGCCCACAGGACCCGCCAACUGGAAGAGCCCCUUGGACUUCUUGCCAGAGGCCCAUGGGCAGAGACCUUCAUUCCCUUUGUGUCAGCGUUCAGGGGAAACGGGUUUCCCUCGAAUGCGCAGGAAGAGAAUUUCAUAUGAACCAGGGCCAGGAGAAUGUGUUGAGAUGGAACCUUGAAGCUGGUUAGCUUACCACAAGGACUCCAAGACCUCCUCACCGUCCUGUCAGGAGUUGCUGUGAAAUGAGACAGGGAAGAACUCACUUACCUGCUUAAUACUAGGUUUUGCCCUGCAUCAGGCACCAAAUAAAACCUCAUUUAUACUUUUCCUGUUUUGAGGACCCAGCCUCCCAGCUGUUUUGGUGAAGGGGUUAAUACAAUUUUUUUUAAAAAGCUAAUUUCUACUAAAACCCUGUCAUAUCCCCUAUAAGUGAAACUGGCUCAUGGCCAUUUUGGUUAGAUUUUUUUGAAAAUACAAGAAAGCCUUCUUUUAAAUAUGUUCUCCUUAUAUGCUUAAAAAUAUCAUCUUACAGCCUUUCUCUCCUGAUUGGGUAAAUAAAUUGUAUUUGUUUUUUUGGCUUA